UGAGGCUAUUGCGAGUGUGAAAUUUUGUCCAGGAAGUAACUAAGAAGACAUGAACAGAGAGGUGGUGAUCCUCGGUGGAGUGAUGAAGUAGAGCAGCCAGCACCCCAAGUAGAGCAGGCACUGUGGAAAAAUAGUUGUGACUCAACCAGACCAUUACAAAGUAUGGCCUGGAGGAUUUUCAUCUCAAGGUGCAAGAACAUUCUUAAUGACUGUACACGGCGGCUGCUGAUGGACAAUGUUGGGCCAGAUGUGCUACAGUUAGCGUUAAGGAGACAAUGCAGAGAAGCCUUCGGUGGGCAAGAGGAAGACUGAUCAAUGUAACUGCGGCAGAUCAACUUCUGCGUGACUUGGCUGAAUUGAUUCAGGAGGUCGAACUGCCUACUCAGCAUGGCCAACAAGGCUCUUUUGGAUACCAGGCACCAGUGGUUUUCAACAGAGGUAGAGGUAGAUCCCUUUUCCUUAUCACUCGGGAGCAGCUUUCAUUCCUGAAGUCAUGUGGAUUCACUGCACCUCAGAUGGCUGAUAUUUUGAGUGUUUCACUUUGUACAAUUUGAAGACGUCUGCGACAGUAUCAUUUCACCCGUGCAUCAAUGUAUGCGGAACUGACUGACAGUGCCUUGGAUGAACAUGUGCAGGACAUUGUCGCUGGCAAUGUACAAACUGGUCCUGAUGCUGUCAGAG